AACAAAAAUAAAAAUCAAAAUGCACUCACAGGUCUUCUGGUUUCCUAUUAACCAGAAGACCUGUGAGUGCAUUUUGAUUUUUAUU